GACGAACGCUGGCGGCGUGCUUAACACAUGCAAGUCGAACGGAGCGAAUGAAAGCUUGCUUUUAUAAGCUUAGUGGCAAACGGGUGAGUAACACGUAGGUAACCUGCCGACAGGAUGGGGACAACAUUCCGAAAGGAAUGCUAAUACCGAAUGAAGUCAGAGGAGGGCAUCCUCUUCUGAUGAAAGAUGGCCUCUAUAUAUAAGCUAUCACCUGUCGAUGGGCCUGCGUCUGAUUAGCUGGUAGGUGAGGUAACGGCUCACCUAGGCGACGAUCAGUAGCCGGUCUGAGAGGAUGAACGGCCACAUUGGGACUGAGACACGGCCCAGACUCCUACGGGAGGCAGCAGUGGGGAAUCUUCCGCAAUGGGCGCAAGCCUGACGGAGCAACGCCGCGUGAGUGAAGAAGGUCUUCGGAUCGUAAAGCUCUGUUGAUGGGGACGAACGUGCCUAAUUCGAAUAGUUUUAGGUAAUGACG
rnacentral:rRNA from 1 species